CUACUAAGUACAUCAAUUCAGGGGCGUACAUGGGCCCUGGUGCAAGGGUUCAGCUUGGGCCCCCCUUCCCUCAGUGCUUUGUGGUCAGGGGCAGGGAAGCACAUAGCGUUCGUACUGCCUGAGGAAAAAAUUUAAACAGCAACCCCCCCCCCAUGCCAAUUUUUUUUACCUUAUCU